GAUGAACGCUGGCGGCGUGCCUAAUACAUGCAAGUCGAGCGGACGGACGAGAAGCUUGCUUCUCUGAUGUUUGCGGCGGACGGGUGAGUAACACGUGGAUAACCUCCCUAUCAGACUGGGAUAACUUCGGGACACCGGCGCUAAUACCGGAUGAUAUUUUGCACCGCAUGGUUCAAAAGUGAAAGACGGUCUUGCUGUCACUUAUAGAUGGAUCCGCGCUGCAUUAGCUAGUUGGUAAUGUAACGGGCUACCAGGGCUACGAUGCAUAGCCGACCGGUGAGGCUGAUCGCCCACAUGGGAACGUGGCCGCGGUCAAGACGCCUACGGGAGGGAGCAGAAGGGAACCUUCGGCAGUAGGCGAGAGCCUGACGGAGUAACGGCGCGUGAGAGAUGGAGGCCUUCGGAUCGUAAAACCCGGUUAUGAGGGAAGAACAGAUGUGUAAGGAACUGAGCACAGCUUGACGGUAACUAAUCAGAAAGCCACGGCUAACUACGUG
rnacentral:rRNA from 1 species